UACGUAGGGGGCAAGCGUUGUCCGGAAUCAUUGGGCGUAAAGCGCGUGUAGGCGGUUCAGUAAGUCUGCUGUGAAAGUCCAGGGCUCAACCCUGGGAUGCCGGUGGAUACUGCUGGACUAGAGUGCGGAAGAGGCGAGUGGAAUUCCCGGUGUAGCGGUGGAAUGCGCAGAUAUCAGGAGGAACACCAAUAGCGAAGGCAGCUCGCUGGGACGUUACUGACACUGAGGCGCGAAAGCUAGGGGAGCAAACAGG
rnacentral:rRNA from 1 species